rnacentral:rRNA from 1 species
GGGCCGCAGUAAUUUGACUGUGCAAAGGUAGCAUAAUCAUUAGUUUUUUAAUUGAAGGCUUGAAUGAAUGGUUGGACAAGAAUUAAACUGUCUUUAUUUUAAAAAUUGAAUUUUACUUUUAAGUGAAAAGGCUUAAAUGCGUUUAAGGGACGAUAAGACCCUAUAAAUCUUUAUAAGAUAUUUUACUGGGGCGGUAUUAAUAUAUUAGUAAACUGUUAAAUAAAUUUACAAGUUAAUUGAAGUGUGAAUAAAAGGUCUUUUUUAAAAAUAAGUAGUUUAAGUUACUUUAGGGAUAACAGCAUAAUCUUUUUAGAGAGUUCUUAUCGAAAAAAAGGUUUGUGACCUCGAUGUUGAAUUAAAAUUUCUUUAUAAUGCAGCAGUUAUAUAAGAUAGUCUGUUCGACUAUUAAAUUUUU